CCUACGGGAGGCAGCAGUGGGGAAUAUUGCGCAAUGGGGGCAACCCUGACGCAGCAACGCCGCGUGAUUGAAGAAGGCCUUCGGGUUGUAAAGAUCUUUAAUCAGGGACGAAAAAUGACGGUACCUGAAGAAUAAGCUCCGGCUAACUACGUGCCAGCAGCCGCGGUAAUACGUAGGGAGCAAGCGUUAUCCGGAUUUACUGGGUGUAAAGGGCGUGUAGGCGGGCCUGUAAGUCAGAAGUGAAAUCUGGGGGCUUAACCCCCAAACUGCUUUUGAAACUGCGGGUCUUGAGUGAUGGAGAGGCAGGCGGAAGUCCCAGUGUAGCGGUGAAAUGCGUAGAUAUUGGGAGGAACACUCGUGGCGAAGGCGGGUUCCUGGACAUUAACUGACGCUGAGGCACGAAGGCCAGGGGAGCGAAAGGGAUUAGAUACCCUAGUAGUC
rnacentral:rRNA from 1 species